ACAACCAGUUCAAAUCCCCUUUUAGAAAUAUUUGGCGGAUUGGUUAUUGGUGGAUGAGGGGAUGCAUGCAUAACGUUGAAUCACCUCACCACCGAAAUUCAGAGGCGGUUUGUCCCCACGUGUUUGUGGCGUUGUAAAAGCUUUACCAGCACUAUUCGCUCGCAUCGUGGGUGCACUGCUUGCCAUCGGAGAAAUCCCCAUUCAUCAAA
rnacentral:misc_RNA from 1 species